rnacentral:tRNA from 1 species
CAGAGAAUAGUUUAUUAAAAAAUAUUAGUUUUGGAUAUUAAUGAUAAGUUUAUCUUUUCUCUGA